rnacentral:misc_RNA from 1 species
CUCGAUUCCUCGAUACUUUUCCCAAAAGGGUUUUGAUGGAGGGGAGAUAUUGUGGGGAUUGAUAAAUUGAUGAAGGUGUUUAUGAGGCUGUUCUUUUCUUGAGUUGGUUUCAAUUUGGGUAUGGAUAUAUUCAACCACCCAUCAGCAACAAAAUCCACCAAGCAAAUGAGCUGAAGUAUGGGAGAUUCUCUCCUCACAGCCUUGUCAAUGGAGAAUCAUCACCCUUCCACCCUCUUGUCAAUGGAUUCCAGUGCCUCCUCUCACGAAGAAUUGGAUUUGGAGAUGAAUCGUCAAAUCAUACUUUCCCGUCCGCCUGAUAUCAAUUUACCCCUGUCAGCUGAGCGUAGUCCACCACCACAGUCAUGGAAUUCUGACCCAUGUGAUAUGCUAGAUGUUGGACUUGGUCAGCAGGUUUAUGAGACUGAGAGUCUCCUUAGUAUCACCAAAGUUGGAAGGAAAUGCGCCAAGCGGGUGGAUAGUAUUUGGGGUGCUUGGUUUUUCUUUAGUUU